AGAGUUUGAUCCUGGCUCAGAUUGAACGCUGGCGGCAUGCCUAACACAUGCAAGUCGGACGGUAACAGGUCUUCGGAUGCUGACGAGUGGCGGACGGGUGAGUAAUGCGUAGGAAUCUGUCUUUUAGUGGGGGACAACCCAGGGAAACUUGGGCUAAUACCGCAUGAGCCCUGAGGGGGAAAGCGGGGGAUCUUCGGACCUCGCGCUAAGGGAGGAGCCUACGUCUGAUUAGCUAGUUGGUAGGGUAAAGGCCUACCAAGGCGACGAUCAGUAGCUGGUCUGAGAGGACGACCACCACACUGGACUGAGACACGCC
rnacentral:rRNA from 1 species